AUAAACACACCCUAAAUAUUUUGCAGCCGUCAUACCCAAACAGCCCCUCUUCUCUUCUUCUUCUACACCUUAACCCUAAAUCACCCUAAAAACCACCAGCCCCCUCACCCAAAACAGGACCACGUCGUUCACCCCUAGCAGUCCGCCAACGACUAAGUCACGACGUCAACAGCCCCCCAUCAUCUCCGACCAGCAGCUGAACCAUCAUCUCCAUCCCAAACAACCACGACAUCGUCUUCCUCACGUCGCUGACCAGCGACCAAACACCAUCUCUGUCGCUGCUUCGCCAGCAUUCAUCUUCUUCAUCCAGCAGCAGUCGAAGUCGAACACCUCUAAUCGUCGAACACCUCUAGUCGUCGAACCGGCAGCAACAGCAAGUUGUUGUCUUCGUCUUCCUCACCCGCAGCUCUCACGUCCAAACAACCACCCAUGUCGCUAACCACUCAAACGACCAAAACAGCCCUCGUCAUUAUUCUGUCCAACGUAACAUCUCUGUGAGUUUGAGUACCUGCUUUUCCAUUGAGGUCGAUAGUUCCUCGAGGUAAUGUCGUUGUUUUCCGGUUCGAGUUUCGUCCCGAGUUCAAAAUUUCCGGACAGAUUAGAUUUUAUGUGGUUUCAAAGUUUCCGAGCAAAUUUGUUUUCGUUCGAGUUCGGCGUUAUUCUGAUCUGGUUAGUUGGUUUAAGUUUCAUUAAUGUCCGUAUUUUAUUUGAUAUUCUCGGAUAUGAAAUCAGUGUGUGUUAGAUUCUUUCUUGUUCGUUGUUUAUCAUUUCUUGAUUAUUUCUUCAGUUUGUUUCUAUUUAUUUGUCCUUG
rnacentral:lncRNA from 1 species